UACGAAGGGUGCGAGCGUUAUUCGGAGUUACUGGGCGUAAAGAGCAUGUAGGCGGUUUGCUAAGUUAGUUGUUAAAUUCCACGGCUUAACUGUGGACACGCAGCUAAUACUGGCGAGCUAGAGCAUAGAAGAGAGAAGUGGAAUUCCCGGAGUAGCGGUAAAAUGCGUAGAUCUCGGGAGGAACACCGGUUGCGAAGGCGGCUUCUUGGUCUAUUGCUGACGCUAAAGUGCGAAAGCGUGGGGAGCAAACAGG
rnacentral:rRNA from 1 species